rnacentral:lncRNA from 1 species
ACCGCUCUCUACAAGCUCUUCUUUGGCUUCUCUCUUCUCACUCUUCUUGUUCUUAUCCGUACCAGGCAGACAGCUCCUCUUUGUUCUCAACUUUGCGGUUUAUAGAUUUUACACCUUCUUCAGGUGAGCGUUCUAUUAGCACUGUUUCUAUUAAUUUAGUUUGCAUUAUUUGGGCCCCUUUGAUUCUGAUUUCCUUUAUCACGUAUUUCCAAUACUACGGAGUAUUAUCUUUUGCAAUUUUCUAUUAUUUGAAUUUUGUGUUCCCAUCGCUGCUUUCUGUUGCUCUGUAAGUGUUUCGGAAAGUUCUUCAAUGAAUUAGGAUUUCCAUAAGAUUUUCUAAUUAUCUUUGGGUUUAAUUUGUGGCUUCAUGACUUGGGAAGAGAAGUGGCUGGUUGGACCUGCUUUGGAUUUCGAUAUGAAAAGGUAAUACACGGACGAACUAUGCCCUCUCUUUAACUUGGGGUGUUUAAAAAAGAAUGAAAAACUUUUGAAACUUCUAAUCUUAAACCGAUCAUAACAUUCGUG